rnacentral:rRNA from 1 species
AGAUUGAACGCUGGCGGCAGGCCUAACACAUGCAAGUCGAGCGGUAGAGUGGUGCUUGCACCUCUUGAGAGCGGCGGACGGGUGAGUAAUGCCUAGGAAUCUGCCUAGUGGUGGGGGGUAACGUUCGGAAACGGACGCUAAUACCGCAUACGUCCUACGGGAGAAAGCGGGGGACCUCCGGGCCUCGCGCCAUUAGAUGAGCCUAGGUCGGAUUAGCUAGUUGGUGAGGUAAUGGCUCACCAAGGCGACGAUCCGUAACUGGUCUGAGAGGAUGAUCAGUCACACUGGAACUGAGACACGGUCCAGACUCCUACGGGAGCAGCAGUGGGAAUAUUGGACAAUGGGCGAAAGCCUGAUCCAGCCAUGCCGCGUGUGUGAAGAAGGUCUUCGGAUUGUAAAGC